AGGGUAUUAGUUAAUUUUCAUAACAUUUAAUUUGCAAUUAAAAAUUAUAUAUUUUAUAAUUAUAUAUAUCUUA
rnacentral:tRNA from 1 species